rnacentral:rRNA from 1 species
UACGUAGGGAGCAAGCGUUGUUCGGAUUUACUGGGCGUAAAGGGCGCGUAGGCGGUCAGCACAAGUCAGUUGUGAAAUCUCCGGGCUUAACCCGGAAAGGUCAACUGAUACUGUGCGACUAGAGUGCGGAAGGGGCAACUGGAAUUCUCGGUGUAGCGGUGAAAUGCGUAGAUAUCGAGAGGAACACCUGCGGCGAAGGCGGGUUGCUGGGCCGACACUGACGCUGAUGCGCGAAAGCCAGGGGAGCGAACGGG